rnacentral:sRNA from 1 species
GGAACUCUGGCUGCCGAAAUCCGGGCCCUGCGGGAGGCCUACAUUCGAGACGGGGGCCGGGACCCCGGCGUGCUGGGCCAGAUAUGGCAGUUGCAGUUGGAGGCGUCUGCACUGGAGCUGCAGCGGUCGCAGACCCGCAGAGACUACCACCCUCACCAUCAGUAUCUUUGGUCUGUGAGCUGCAGGUAUGGCAGGGGCUGGCAUGGGCUAGGGCAGCACAGCCAAAGGCUUGGGUCUCACUUGGACUAUUUGACCACGAUCA